rnacentral:rRNA from 1 species
AUUGAACGCUGGCGGCAGGCCUAACACAUGCAAGUCGAACGAGUGGCGGACGGGUGAGUAAUGUCUGGGAAACUCCCCGAUGGAGGGGGAUAACUACUGGAAACGGUAGCUAAUACCGCAUACCAUCGGAUGUGCACAGAUGGGAUUAGCAUGUGGGUGGGGGAAAGGCUAACCUAGGCGACGAUCCCUAGCUGGUCUGAGAGGAUGACCAGCAACACUGGAACUGGGAAACGGUCCAGACCCCUCGGGGAGGAAGCAGAGGGGAAUAUUGCACAAUGGGCGAAAGCCUGAUGCAGCAAUGCCGGGGGUAGGAAGAAGGCCUUCGGGUUGUAAAGUACUUUCAGCGAGGAGGCGGUACUCGCAGAAGAAGCACCGGCUAACUCCGUGCCAGCAGCCGCGGUAAUUC